rnacentral:rRNA from 1 species
AACGAACGCUGGCGGCAGGCCUAACACAUGCAAGUCGAACGUGAAGCUGGAGCUUGCUCCAGUGGAAAGUGGCAGACGGGUGAGUAACGCGUGGGAAUUUACCCAGUGGUACGGAAUAACUCAGGGAAACUUGUGCUAAUACCGUAUAAGCCCUUCGGGGGAAAGAUUUAUCGCCGAAGGAUCGGCCCGCGUUAGAUUAGCUUGUUGGUGGGGUAAAGGCCUACCAAGGCGACGAUCUAUAGCUGGUCUGAGAGGACGAUCAGCCACACUGGGACUGAGACACGGCCCAGACUCCUACGGGAGGCAGCAGUGGGGAAUAUUGGACAAUGGGCGCAAGCCUGAUCCAGCCAUGCCGCGUGGAUGAAGAAGGCCCUAGGGUUGUAAAAUCCUUUCGGUGGUGAAGAUAAUGACGGUAACCACACAAGAAGCCCCGGCUAAUUUCGUG